UAUGACUAUAUCACGUUGAAAACCCGGUUCCCGUACGUUUAGCGAAGUUAAGCAACGUCGUGCCUGGUCAGUCCAUAGAUGAGUGACCACUUGGGAAUAUGAGGUCCUGUA